UCGAGAAUCUUCCACAAUGGACGAAAGUCUGAUGGAGCGACACCGCGUGACUGAUGACGUCUUUCGGGAUGUAAAGGUCUUUUAUGAGGGAUGACAUAGCGACAGUACCUCAUGAAUAAGGGGCUGCUAAUCACGUGCCAGCAGCAGCGGUAAUACGUGAGCCCCAAGCGUUAUCCGGAAUUACUGGGCGUAAAGAGUGCGUAGGCGGUCGUGUUAGUCUUCUGUUCAAUCCAUCGGCUCAACCGGUGAA
rnacentral:rRNA from 1 species